AUACGGAGGAUGCGAGCGUUAUCCGGAUUUAUGAGGUUUAAAGGGUGUGUAGGCGGUAUUUUAAGUCAGUGGUGAAAUCUCGGAGCUUAACUUCGAAACUGCCAUUGAUACUGGAAUACUUGAGUAUAGUUGAGGUAGGCGGAAUAUGUAAUGUAGCGGUGAAAUGCAUAGAUAUUACAUAGAACGCCGAUUGCGAAGGCAGCUUACUAAACUAUUACUGACGCUGAUGCACGAAAGCGUGGGGAGCGAACAGGAUUAGAUACCCUAGUAGUCC
rnacentral:rRNA from 1 species